rnacentral:rRNA from 1 species
GAAAUUGAUCCUUCAGUACAAAAGCUGAAAUUAACCCAUAAGACGAGAAGACCCUGUGGAGCUUCAAAACCAAAACCACUAAACAUGCCUCCUGGUUUUUUAGUUGGGGCGACUUUGGAGCAAAAAAAACCCUCCAAAACAUAAAUCUAUUUAUUAAGAACAACACACCAAAAAUAAUAUUAUAGACCCAGCAGUAUUAAUUUACUGUCUGAUCAAUGAACCAAGUUACCCCAGGGAUAACAGCGCUAUCCUCUUCUAGAGUCCUUAUCGACAAGGGGGUUUACGACCUCGAUGUUGGAUCAGGACACCC